UAAUUUUUCAAAGUAAACCCUAACUUUUUAAUUUCCCCUUUCUCAUCACUCUCUCUCAUCAAAAUAUUUUCCCUUUCUCUCUCUAAUAAUAUUGAAGCUCAGUUUGGACCUCAGCUCCCUGAACUCCGGCCGAUCCUGAGCUCGUCCUCUCCAAACUCCGGUGGUCCUCAGCUCCCUUAACUCUGGCCGUUCCUCAGCUCGGUCCUCUCUAAACUCCGGUGCGCUCUCUCGUCGCGACUCAGCUGCGCUCUCUCCAUUGAAGCAGCGCUCUCUACUCCCUCUCUCACGCAGCAGCGCUCUCUCCAUUGAAGCAGCUCAAGCUCUCCCUUCCUGAUCAAGAAACUCCCAUCAAUAGCUUCCUAACCGUGUGGAAGUAAUGAGUCUGGGAUAGCCAGUUUAGUGAGGUUGGGACAAGCUCCAGCGCCUUUAUCAGCAAGGGCAAGGGCUUAUAAAGUAUAUCGGGCGAAUCUCACAGGGAGUGAAUUGAAAUCACAUAGGCAAAAAUUGAAAUUCAUACAAAUGGAGUGCGCUCAACAACAAGGAGGCGUUGAAUGUGGCUACUACAUUAUGAGAUACAUGUAUGAGAUUGUUACUUCUCACUUGGAGUGCAAAGGUGUCUUAGAGGAGGAUUUUUGUUCAAGGACAGCCCUGUAUGAUGUUGACGAGUUGAAUGUGGUUCGAGAACAGUGGGCGCAAUACUUUAGAAGUAAAUAUUUAUUGAAUGCAUAACUAUUAGCUUAGGUAGAACAAAGUAAUAUUUUUAGUGUUGUAUGUUGUAUAUGUUGGAUAAAUUUAUACAAGUUUUUAUUUGUAAUGUGUUACUACUUCAAUUUUUAUAUUACGUCGUAUUAAUUUUUACG